GAUGAACGCUAGCGGCAGGCUUAAUACAUGCAAGUCGAGGGGCAGCGGGGGUAGCAAUACCUGCCGGCGACCGGCAAACGGGUGCGGAACACGUACACAACCUUCCUUGAGGUGGGAGAUAGCCCAGAGAAAUUUGGAUUAAUACCCCAUAAUAUAUUGGAGUUGCAUGACUUUGAUAUUAAAGAUUUAUUGCCUUAAGAUGGGUGUGCGUAUGAUUAGGUAGUUGGUUGAGGUAACGGCUCACCAAGCCUUCGAUCAUUAACUGGUGUGAGAGCACGACCAGUCACACGGGCACUGAGACACGGGCCCGACUCCUACGGGAGGCUG
rnacentral:rRNA from 1 species